rnacentral:lncRNA from 1 species
UGUUCUUCUGAGUUGAGUAGUAGCUCCGCCCCGAUAUGCCUGUGUUGAUUGAUAGGUAUCCCCUUUCUUGUGACUUUCUGUGUUAUAUCACCUUUAAUAACUUUCUUUCCUUUUUCAAAACUCGAACAAUGGGAGAAUCCAACUGUGGAAAUGGUGCUUCCCGAUCUUCUCUUCCCUGCUGUAUGAGAUCCCAAAUUUCAAGUGAGAUCUCGUUCUGUGAGUAAAACACCCCUGUAAUUUUCUGAAACUCUCUUUUGGUAUUGAGUUCUUUGUACGCUCUCCAUCUCUUCGGAUGAACUUUUGUCGUCCUGAGCCCCAAUGAUUGACGAUGUUGAUAAUGACUUUUCAUACUGGUAGUAAUUCCAUAUGAAACUAAAGUUUCUUUCUCAAAAGGUAAUCUUUUUAGUGAAACUAAUAUUCUUCAACGAGGAUGAAUGUAAUAUUCGAGUCAUAUCUACAUAUUAAAGUCCACAACUUGUGCAAAAUGUAUCGCGUAAAAUUGAAGGUUAACAUUAAGUGUAGAAUUUUCUUUUAUAAGGACAGUAAAUAUUUGAUCUUGUCUGUGUUUAUAAAGUUUCUAAAAGCAAACUAUCUGAAAAUUUGAGCGUCCUUCCAUACCUCUCUAAAUUUUUUUUGAAGGUACUCUUAUUUUUCUAUUCUGCUUAUCGAGUUUCAUCAUUGGUUAACCGAUCUUACUCUGUAAACAUGGGAUAAAUAAUUUACCUAUCUUGAGCUCUUAAGAUACUUAUCUUAUGAUUAUACACGUCAUCCAGCAGGGAUCAUGUGAAAUAAAAAAUCUUUGAGGGAAGAUUUAUUUAAUUUAUUUUUUUAAAACAAGAAGUAACUAGUAGGAACCUAGAUAGGGUCUGCUGCAACCAGACGGCCAAUAACUUGACUUGUACCAAAAAACAAAAUGAACCAACACAGGAUAUAGUCAUGGACUAUGUUGGUUGGACCUAAUUUGAGGGAAGAUUUAUUAUAUCUAAAGAUGGUCAAGUGUCCAUGUUGCUGCACUUCACUAUCUUCAGAUAUAAUUAAUGUUUCCUCAAAUUAGGUCCGAGCAACAUAUUCGAUGAUUGUAUCCUGUGUUGGUGCAUCUGAUGUUGUUAUUACAGAUCAAGUUACUGGUCCUCUGGUUGAAGAGGAGCGUAUCCAGGUUCUUGCUAUUUACUGCUAUUUAUAAACUAAGUUGCGCGAACUCUUCAAUUUCAAUGCUGCACCCAUGUCGGAUUCCUUAAAAUUCACUAGUUUUGACGAAUCCAACACGCACCCGUAGACAUUAUUGAAGAGUCCGAGCAACAUAGAUUAUAAACAACAUCAAAGAGGAACAUGUUGGGUUCAAUAUGUAUCAAAAAGGUGUGAAUGGAAAAUGGAAAGAAAAAUUGUGGAAGAAAGGAGACACCAAUUUAGAAGGUGUACUCCCAAAAUUGAAAAGUUCACUAAUUCUCCCACAUUGGUGGGAGAAGAAAACUAUGGAGUGUUUUUAAUAGAAAGCACUUACUCCACAUGCUAAGUGAGGCAAGAAAUAAGAAAUGUCUCGUGCCGUCGUUAUCGCUUUGCUUUGGAUUUGGAUUGAUCGAUGAGAUCUAUUUUUUUCGACAAAGUUUAUUUCACGUAAAUUUAAUCCAAAUGCCAAAAGGAAAAUGCACCAGUAAUCCUCCAUUUAUACAUGCAUACAGAUUUCGAAACAACAUUUUUUGAAAUGAUACACUGCUUCGAACUGAUGCAAUUUUUCUAUGAAAUUAUAUGUCUGUUCAAUGAACUGAUGUUCUGUUUCGUGAACUGGUAUGUCUGUUUUGAGAAGGACACGUUCUUUGGGUAAACAGACAUGAAUUUCCAGAAACAUCACACCAUUUAAGUGAACCAAUGUCACCUUUUCGAAGUGGCAUGUCACAGGCUAUAUAAACCUGCUUUUAUUCACAGGUUUUGAUAUGAAUUUUUCUGCAAUAAACUCUCUUCUUGUCUUUACAAAUACUUUGUGUGAUCAGUCAAUCCGUUAAGUGAGUUCGACGAUAUUCUAAUUGUUUGAGGUACCACUACAGUUGGUCUGUUUGGCCAUUUUAUCCUGGGAGGAAAAUUCCGCAACCUCGAGUACAGUGAGGGAAAUUAUUUCCUUAAGGAACGUCCGUGAAGAGAACGGGUGCGCCCCAGGGAGACACACUGGGCCUUAUAAAACCCUUAUCAAGAAGAUAUUUGAGUUACUUUUUCAACUCCUUAAGCUCUGUGGGGGCAUACGAUACGGAGGAAUAGAAAUAUGCUGUGUAUUAGGGAGAAGAUUAAUUCCAAAUUCUAUCUCUCUAUCAGGAGGUACCCCUGGGAGAUCUUCCGAGAAAACAUUAGCAAACCCAUUGACAACACUAAGAGAGUGAAUAGUUAGAGUCUCAGACUUAGUGUCCUUAACUUGGACUAAAUGAUAGAUACAACCCUUGGAUAUCAAUUUUCUAGCUUUAAGAUAGGAUAUGAAAUGACUUUUAGGAGAUACAGAAUUUUCAGACCACUCAAAGACUGGCUCAUUUGGAAGCUGAAACUUGACUACCCGGGUAUGACAGUUUAUAGAUGAUAACAAGAGUGAAGCCAAUCCAUACCCAGAAUAAAAGCAAAAUCAACCAUGUCUAGCUCAAUCAAAUCUGCAAAUAUAACCCUGUUAAUAACAGUAAUAGGACACUUCUUAUAUACUUGCUUAGCAACAACAGAUUCACCCACUGGUGUAGAGACUAGAAAAGGCUCGAAAAUCUUUUCAGCACUGAUUUCAAAAUUCACAGCCACUAACGGAGUCACAUAAAAAAGACUUGACCCAGGGUCCAUCAACACAUACACAUCAAAAUGAAAUACACAAAACAUACCAGUAACAACAUCUAGUGAAUCCUCCUGCUCGUGGCAAGGUGGUAUAGCAUAAAUGUGAUUCUGGCGCUGACCACCUGCAGUACUAGACGAGGCACCUUGAGGAGGAGUAGGAUGAACUAUAAGGGCUAGAGAACUAAUAGCCUGACUCUGGGGACGAACAUCGCGACUCUCCUGUCUAGCAUAAGGGAAAUUCCUAAACUUGUGGCCCAACUUACCGCAACCAAAACAACCCCUUUGACUGACUAAGUACUCAUCGGGAUGGUCUCUACUGCACUUCGGACAUGGGGGAGGACGAGGUUUGUUACUCACACUAUCCUAGGACCUGGACAUAGUAGGCCUACUACCCUGCUCCGGCCUAAUUCUGAAUGCAGGAGUACUGGCUGAUGAAGGCUCUAGCACAAGAAAACGGCUUUGGAACUGAGGGCGGAUCCCUCUAGAAAAUCUAGUCUGACUAUAACCCUGUUUCUCUGAUCUAAUUCUCUUAUUCCCUCUCACUCUCUCUCUUCUUCACUUUAUCUGCUUUAAUCUGCUGAGCAUGAAUCAUUAGUCUUGAAAGGUCCAUGUCCCUAUUAAGCAUAUCAGAUCUACCCUCUUUCACAACAUAACCAGAUACACUGGCCAAUAACUUACUCAUACUAGUUCUAGAAUCAGCCAUCAUACCGGGAUCAUACUUAGAUAAUUGGUUAAACUUAUGGCAAUACUCCUUAACUGUCAAGGGGCCCUGUCUCAAGUUCAUAAAUUCUUCUAAUUUUGCUUCCCUCAACUCUGGGGGGAAAAUCUGUCUAAGAAGGAAUCUUGGAAUAAUUGCCAAGUCACAGGAGUAUCAUUCUCCCCUCUACUCUUCCUCCACAUCUCCACCCAAUCAUAAGCAACAUCUUUCAUUCGAUAGGCAGCCAAUUCAACACUCUCCUCCUCCGUCACAUGCAUAAUCUGAGUGAUCUUUCUCACUAUAUCUAAAUACAUUUGUGGGUCUUCACCUACUUUCGACCCAAAGAACUAAGGUGGAUUCAUUCGCAUAAAUUCAUGAACCCGGGCUGCAGCAGAAUUAUUCCCUUGUGGAGGUGGAACAGUAGCCUGGGUGUUAGCUUGGGCGUUGGUGGUGACCGCCUGGGCUAGCGCAUGGAAAGCUGCUCAGAAUUCGGCAUAGGACACAGUAUCACCUAAAGGAUCAAUGGGUUAAGGUCGUUCGUUGUUUCUGCGAGCUCUACGAGGAGGCAUUUUCUGUCAUAAGAGAGCACGAAUUAACAGCUGAGAGAAAUAGCUAUAGGCACGAUAGACUCUUGAAAAAAAGAAACAACUUUUCCUAAUACGUCCCAUAGCCUCUUUCUCAUAGAUGUAGCGCGCUACACACCGAUGAUCAAGACUCUACGUAACGCGGCUUGUCAGACUUCCUAGGAUUCCUAGAACCUUAGGAUUUGAUACCAAGAUUGUAACGCCCUAAGAACCUAUCCCGAGACGUCACAUGAUGCUCAAGGCCACAUGUGGCCUCAAGAUAACCUUCUAAGCCUGUCAUCACUUUGAGAACUCAUUAUUGCGCAAAUCAUGAUAAGAUAAAGAGGAAUAACCAUGUCAUGAACAUACUAAAACACGAAGUAAUACUGCCCUGUACAAAUAAAAUUCUAGUCUGACAAAGCCUCUACUACAUAGGACCGAGGAGCCAUUGGGACAGAUCCCCAACUGACUCGUACUGAACUGAAAGUAAACAACCAUCUAUUAACAAGAUAAAAUCAGAGACACAGGUCCUCAAACUAUAAGGACUCACCAACUACAAAAAUGUAGAUGAAGGUACUCAAAGAUCACUGUCACUGUUGAGACUGAGCACCUAAACCUAUAUCAUGAGGAAAUAUAGAAUACAAAAGUGUAUGAGAGUCAGUACUUAGGAAUGUACGGAGUAUGUGGGGGUGGAUGCAACAUUUUAAAUAAUAUCAUAAAUGUAUAAAAAAAUCAUGCAUGCUGACAAUAAUAACUCUCUUCGCUUGAAUUAUCUAAAACAUCAUUUCCGUAAGUCAUCAGUAAUAACAUAUGCUUCAUAAAUCUCAUAAAUCAUUUAACUNNNNNNNNNNNNNNNNNNNNNNNNNNNNNNNNNNNNNNNNNNNNNNNNNNNNNNNNNNNNNNNNNNNNNNNNNNNNNNNNNNNNNNNNNNNNNNNNNNNNNNNNNNNNNNNNNNNNNNNNNNNNNNNAACCUAUAUCAUGAGGAAAUAUAGAAUACAAAAGUGUAUGAGAGUCAGUACUUAGGAAUGUACGGAGUAUGUGGGGGUGGAUGCAACAUUUUAAAUAAUAUCAUAAAUGUAUAAAAAAAUCAUGCAUGCUGACAAUAAUAACUCUCUUCGCUUGAAUUAUCUAAAACAUCAUUUCCGUAAGUCAUUAGUAAUAACAUAUGCUUCAUAAAUCUCAUAAAUUAUUUAACUCAACUCAAACUCUUUGACUCAUGACUUAGAGUGACUCGGUAACUCAUGGUACUUAGAUCAUUAUGGACGUGGGAGUUUCUUAUAACCGACAUAACUACACCAUGUAAGCUGCAUAGAGUCUAACGUUUUGCCAUCCUAAGAAGAGAACCCCACAUUGGCGGGGGUGUCGUACUCUUGCCAGGGAGUACAACCUCAAUCUCAUUAUCACAAUCCCAUACUCUUCCUCUAGCCCACAAUUAUCAACAUCAAUCCUACGGUGGCACGUAGUUUCUGGAAAAUACCAUAUUUCCCACUCAGUGCUAAAUACUCCUCCAAGACUCAGCUUAUAACAUGUUAGGAAAUCCACUUUAAUCAAUAUCAAUUCAUGGGUCUAUUUUAAAGACCAAAACAUAAAUAUAUAUCUCAUCUGCAAAUCAUAAACAUCUUGUGGAUUCCUAACCCGACUCAACUCAACACAAUCUUUCUCAACAUCAAGUACAUUUGCUUUUUAAAUCAUUUUCAAAUAUCAAAGCUUCAAGGAAACAUCAUAGGACUCAUUCUUGACUUUCAAUCUCAAAUAUCNNNNNNNNNNNNNNNNNNNNNNNNACUUGUCUUAAAUCACUUAGAAAUCAUCAAUACAUAAUGACAAUAUACAACUCAUGGAAUAAAUUCUCAAUUUAAGACACAUGAUGGUGAAAUAAUCAUAAAAAUCAAACUUAUUCAACUCAAAUAUCAUAAAUCAUAAAUAAAGAAAUUUGGGUGUAAACCCACUUGCAAAAUCAUGUAAAUCAAUAAUAGAAAAUAAAUCUUUAGGCACAAGAACGAAAGGAGUGUUCUUGUUCAAGCCCCACAUACCUUGGAUUAUAAUUUUUGGAGAUGUAGAAACUUGUUUGGAACUUCUUCCUUACAUUUUUGAGCUAAGAUACUUGAUUCCUUUGACUAGGGAAGCUUAAUUCUUGGACAACUUGGAGAAAUCUAUGGAAGAUCCUUAAAUUUCUUGGAAGGAUUUUUGGUUUUUGGGUUGAGAGGAAACCCUAGUUUUCUAGAAAAGUCUUGGAGUAAUUGGAGAGAAAUAUGAGAAAAUGAUCUUCUAUUUACUACUUUGAUGUAUAUAUAAGGCAACAAGGAUCAGAAAUGACCAAAAUGGCCUUUUAAAAAAGCUGAAAUUCACUGAUCGGGGCCUGGUACGAUCGAUCUGACGGUCCGUCAAGUCUCCUGAUGGUCCACCAGAUCGUCCGAUACUCGAGUGACAAAACUGGAAUGUUCUGCCUUGACAUGAUAGUCAAAGUGAUGGUCUGUUAGGAAACUGACGGUCCACCAAGUCGUCCGUCACUCGAGGGCCAGAAACGAGACAUUCUGUCUCGACCUGACGGACCCCUUGAUAGUCCAUCAACUUUUUGACGGUCCACCAUCUUGGCCAUCACAUGGUGAUCAGGAAGAUGUGUCACUGCCUUGGCUUAAAAGGACACUUGACGGUCCACCAAGGACCUGACGGUCCGCCAGGUCGACCGUCAGACCUGGGCGAUCCGAUAUCGCUGAGUAAAACGGUUAUAACUCCCUUGUCCAAAGUUGGAUUUUAAUGAAAUUGGUAUCGAUGGAAAUAUUAUUCAAUGACAUACAUGAAAAAAAGUAUAAAUUAUAGAAAUACAAUAUGGUUUAAACAUCAAUUACUUUGGAAGUCAUACAUAUCCACUCAAUAGACAGAUUUAGGCUUAAGAAAUGAUCGGGGUAUUACAGUAGUAUUCUAAAAAUACUAGGUAUUUUCUGUCUUGUGGUGACAGGAAAAAUGUCAAGAGAUAGUCAAAUGCAAGAUGCGGCAACGUCUGUGGGGGCAACUAAUAUUGCCACAUCAAGUCCCACAAAUGCUCCGCCUACAAUGGCACCGGCGGAGAAGCCCAAAAAAUUUGCGGGCAUUGACUUUAAACGAUGACAACAAAAGUUCUUUUACCUCACCAUUUUGUGUCAUAAUGGUUUACUACCGAAUACGCUCCUGAGGUGACCGAGGAAAACUUGGACAAAAAGCGUUUCGUAAUUGUAGAAGCUUGGAAACAUUCAGACUUCCUUUGCAGGAAUUAUAUUCUGAGUGGUCUCCAAGACGACCUCCACAAUAUCUACAGUAGAACUAAGACAUCGAAGAAAUUGUUGGGGGAACUUGAAUGAAAAUAUAAAACAAAGGAUGAAGGAAAUAAGAAAUUCCUUUUUGCAUAUUCCUGGACUUUAAAAUGAUAGAUAGCAAAUCAGUUGUCUCUCAAGUACAGGAAUUAGAAGUCAUCAUACAUGAUCUCCAAGCAGAAGGUAUAGCUUUGAAAAAUACCUUAGUUGAACAAAUUUAAAAAGUUCUUAAUACUCACAUAAACUGUUUUGUUGGUUUUAUUGUGAAUGAUGCAUUUCAAGUAGCAGCAAUAGUUGAGAAGCUACCAUAUUUGUGGAAAGACUUAAAAAACUACUUGAAGCAUAAACGCAAGGAGAUUACUGCCGAAGAUCUUAUUGUACAACUGUGUAUUUAAGAGUACAAUAAAGCUACUGAGAGAAGGUAUAAAGGGAAUUCUACAAUUAAUGAAGCACAUAUUGAAGAAGAUGACCAAAACAAUUCUAAGAAAAGAAAGAAAGCUGAACAAGGAAACAAUCAACCCAAGAAGAAAUUCAAGGGAAAAUGGUUCAAUUGUGGAAAGAUUGGCAACAAGUCCACGGAUUGUCAUGCCCUGAAGAAAGGCAAGAAGAAAGAUCAAGCAAAUAUGAUUGAAUCCAACAAAGAAUGCAAUGAUCUGUGUGUUAUGUUCUCAGAAUGCAACUUGGCGAGGAAUCCUCAUGAAUGGUGGAUGGAUUCUGGUGCCACCCACCAUGUAUGUGACAACAAAGAGUUGUUUUUGUCAUUCACUCCGGCUCAAGUAGAAUAAAUGAUCUACAUGGAUAACUCCGCUGCUGCUAAGGUAGAAGGAACAGGAAAAAUAUGCUUGAAAAUGACUUCAGGAAAGGUCUUGACACUUAACAAUGUCUUUUAUGUUCUAGAGUUACGUAGGAAUUUAAUUUCUAUUUCACUUCUGUACAAGAACGAAUUCAAAUGUGUAACCAUUUUUGGAAAAAUUGUAAUUAGCAAAGAAGAAAUGUAUAUAGGAAAAGACUAUCUGACGGAAGGCCUUUGUAAGAUAAAUGUAAUGACUGUUGAAAUAAAUAAAAGUUCAAAUUCUUCUUAUUUGCUUGAGUCUUAUGAUUUAUGGCAUGAACGUUUAGGCUAUGUUAAUUACAAAACAUUACAAAAACUGAUUAACUUAGAAGUUUUGCCAAACUUUGAGUGCAAUAAAUCAAAGUGUCAAACGUGUGUAGAAUCAAAGUAUGCAAAGCAUCCUUAUAAGUCCAUUGAAAGGAAUUCCAAUCCUUUACACUUAGUGCACACUGACAUUUGUGAUAUGAAGUCAACACCAUCACAUGGUGGGAAAAGUAUUUCAUAAGUUUUGUUGAUGAUUGCACUAGAUAUUGUUAUGUCUAUUUGCUAAAUAGUAAGGAUGAAGCAAUAGAUGCAUUUAGGCACUAUAAAAUUGAAGUUGAAAAUCAGUUAGAUAAAAAGAUAAAAAUGAUAAAAAGUGAUAGGGACGGAGAAUAUGAAUCUCCAUUCUCCGAAAUAUGUGUAGAGAAUGGAAUCAUCCAUCAAACUAAGGCCUCGUAUUCACCUCAAUCUAAUGGAAUCGUGGAAAGGAAAAACCAAACUUUGAAGGAAAUGAUGAAUGUCUUGCUUAUAAGUUCCGGUUUACCGCAAAACUUAUGAGGGGAGGCUAUCCUUAUAGCCAAUUGUAUACUCAACAGAGUUCUCCAUAGUAAGACACAAUCAAUUCCUUAUGAAAAAUGGAAAGGAAGGAAACCCAACUUGAAAUAUUUUAAAGUGGUGGGGGGGUGUCUAGCAAAGGUCCAAGUUCCUAUGCCCAAAAGGGUUAAGAUAGGACCUAAGAUGGUGGGCUGUUGUUUAUAGGAUAUGCUAAAAGCAGUAAAGCAUGCCGAUUUUGGGUUCAUAAAUCCGAACAUUCGGAUAUUAAUAAAAAUACGAUAAUUGAAUCAGACAAUGCUAAAUUCUUUGAAAAUAUUUAUCCGUAUAAAAUUAGACAUGAACAGUCUAGUGGAGGAUUUAAACGACCUCAAGAUGAACCAAGUGAGAAUAUACAUAAUGAAGAAAAUCCAAGACGUAGUACACGUCAAAGAACGUCUACUUCAUUUGGAUCGGAUUUUGUAACAUUUCUCUUAGAAAAUGAGCCUCAAAUAUUUAAGAAAGCGAUGGCACAUUCGGAUUCAUCCUUUUGGAAAGAGGCAGUCAAUAGUGAGAUUGACUCAAUCUUAAGCAACCAUAUAUGGGAAUUGGUUGAUCUUUCUCCCGGAAAUAAGCCUUUAGGUUCUAAAUGGAAUUUCAAACGGAAGAUGAAAGCGGAUGGUACUAUUGACAAAUACAAGGCAAGACUUGUAGUAAAAGGGUUCAAACAAAAAGAAGGCCUUGAUUACUUCAAUACAUACUCGCCAGUAACAAGGAUAACAUCGAUUCGAAUAUUAAUUUCCCUGGCUGCGGUAUAUGGUCUUGGAAUCCAUCAAAUGGAUGUGAAAACUGCUUUCCUAAAUGGAGAAUUAGAGGAAGAAAUUUACAUGGAAAAACCUGAGGGUUUUGUUAUUCCAGGGAAGAAGAAUAAGGUGUGUACGUAUAUUAAGUCAUUGUAUGGACUAAAAUAAGUACCUAAACAAUGGCAUGCAAAGUUUGACCAAACCAUGUUGGCAAAUGGGUUCAAGAUAAAUGAAUGUGAUAAAUGUGUUUAUAUUAAAGGCACUCCAAAUCACCAAGUCAUUGUUUGUUUAUAUGUUGAUGAUAUGUUGAUCAUCAACAAAGACAUUUCUAACAUAAAUGCAACCAAACGAAUGCUCGAGAGCAAGUUUGAUAUGAAAGAACCUUGAAGUUGCAAAUAUGAUCUUAGGUAUAAGAAUCCAUCGAACUCUACACGGGUUAGCAUUGUCACAGUCUCAUUAUAUUGAAAAGGUACUUGACAAGUUCAAGUAUAUGGAAUUCGGUAUUGCCAAGACUCCAUCGGAUGCGAGCUUUGCACUUCAAAAGAAAGAAGGUGAUAGUGACUCGCAAUUGGAGUACACAAGAGUAUUGGUAUAUUUAAUGUAUAUAAUGAACUGUACACAACCAGACAUAGCAUGCGCUAUCAGUAAAUUGAGUCGGUACACGAGUAAUCCCAACAAAACUCAUUGGAUGGCAAUGAAAAGAGUUUUGGGGUAUCUUAAGUACACUCAAAAUUAUGCCUUGCAUUAUAAUAAAUAUCCUGCGAUAAUUGAAGGAUAUAGUGAUGCAAAUUGGAUCACUGAAUUGAAGAAUUAAAAUUCACAAGUGAAUAUGUAUUUAGUAUCGGUGAAGAAGAAGUAUCUUGGAAAUCAUCCAAACAGACUUGUAUUUCUUGCUAUACAAUGGAAUCUGAAUUUAUCACAUUGGAUAAAGCCGGUGAAGAAGCAGAAUGACUCCAAAAUUUCUUAGAAGAUAUUCCUUAUUGGCCUAAGCCAGUGGCACCAGUAUGUAUACACUGUGAUAGCCAAGCGACAAUAGGUAGGGUAGGGAGCAUGAUGUACAAUGAUAAAUAUCAUCACAUACGAUGGAGACAUAAUACCGUUAGGGAACUUCUCUCUAGUGGAAUUAUCAUUGUUGACUAUGUAAAGUCAAAGGACAAUGUGUCGGAUCCACUUACAAAAGGCCUAUCUAGAGAAGGAGUGGAAAGGACAUCCAAAGGAAUGGGUUUAAGGCCUAGGACAAGUCAGCUUGGCGGUAACUCUACCUAGCAGACUGGAGAUCCGAAAAUCUAGGUUCAAGGAGAUCAAACAAAGUUGUGUCUGACAGGUUCAACAUUGUCAAAUACCCAACCCAUUCUCAUGAUGUAGACAAUGUCUAGUAAUCAAGGAUAAGACUUAAAGUGAAAUUUUUUUUAAUGAUUAUCUAAAUUUCAUAAAUUUGACCAAAUAGUUUAAUCUAUAGGAUUAAACGUUUAGAAAUCACCUAUGUGAGGGAGAAGUGGAAGCCACUUUAAGAAGAAUGUUCAUAAAGGCUUAUUCUCUAAGCUCUCAUGAAACCAAGACGUGUUCAUGGCUAAAAAGAACAAAAUCGUGAGAACCAUAAAACGGUAAAAGGUUGGUUAUGUGACAUGUGUUGUCUAGGUGUACAUUAAAGCUCGACAGUUCAAAGAUAUCAAAUCUACCGAUUGACCGAGUGCUUCCGAUGCAUGUUCACUAUGGAAAGUUCAAAGGAAACCCACUUAUCAAGAUGCAAUCAGUCUUUGCUUGAUGAUCACAUACUUGUCCAUAAAACUUUUUGAAAAAUAGUCAUUCCCCAUUCAUGUGGGGGAUUUUUGGGUUCAAUAUGUAUGAAAAUGGUGUGAAUAGAAAAUGGAGAGAAAAAUGGUGGAAGAAAGGAGACACCAAUUUAGAAGGUGUACUCCCAAAAUUAGAAAGUUCACUAAUUCUCCCACAUUGGUGGGAGAAGGGAACUAUGGAGUUCUUUUAAUAGAAAGAACUUACUCCACAUGCUAAGUGAGGGAAGAAAUAAGAAAUGCCUCGCACCAUCGUCAUCGCUCGCUCGACUCGACUUCGGCUUCGGCUUCAGAUUUGGAUUUGGAAGAUGAUCGAUCGAUGAGAUCUAUCUUUUUGGAAAAAGUUUAUUUCACGUAAAUUUAAUUUGAAUGCCAAAAGGAAAACGCACCAGUAAUCCUCCAUUUAUACAUGCAUACAGAUUUUGAAACAGUAUUUUCUGAAAUGAUACACUGCUUCUAACUAAUGCAAUUGUUCAAUGAAAUGAUAUGUCUAUUCAAGAACUGAUGUACUGUUUCGUGAACUGGUCUGUCUGUUUGGAGGACACGUUCUUUGGGUAAACAGACAUGAAUUUCCAGAAACAUCACACCAUUUAAGUGAACCAAUGCCACCUUUUCGAAGAGGCAUCUCACAGGCUAUAUAAACCUGCUUUCAUUCACAGGUUUUGAUAUGAAUUUUUCGGCAAUAAACUGUCUUCUUGUCUUUACAAAUACUCUGUGUGAUCAGUCAAUCCAUUAAGUGAGUUCGACGAUAUUCCAAUUGUUUGAGGUACCGCUACAGUUGGUCUGUUUGGCUAUUUUAUCCUGGGAGGAAAAUUCCGCAACCUCGGGUACAGUGAGGGGAAUUAUUUCCUUAAGGAAAGUGCGUGAAUUCGGGCGACUUGGCCAUUUCUGUUUUCAUCUUUAUUUCUAAAAAUAAAAAACACUUCUAAGAAAGAUCACUUUGAUCUUGUGUUGAGGGUAUUUACUGCCCUUCAUUGUGUUCUUGUUUUUAAGCAUAGAACUGACGUUGAAGUUGUUGUUUACAUAUACAGAUUCUGUGUACCCGUAGAAGGAAAUAACAGAACAAGGUCUGGCCGGCCAAUAGUGAGCGGCCCUAGUAAAUAGCAAAUAAAUCUGAACUUGACACAUCUGAGAGAUGCUCCUUAUAUCCUCAACUAUCACUGCCAUAUUCCAUGGAACUUACCAUACCCUAGUAAGAAUUUUGCGUUGCACUAAGGGGUCUAUUUACAGACAUAUUUUGAUUUAAUUCCUCUGCUACACACUGUACGAGUGCUUCCGUAAUAGCAAUAGCUUCUGCCUCUGUAUUAGUAACUUCUUCAAUUUCCUCUCCCUGUGCAUACGCUAGAUCUCCUGUAUAAUUCCUUAACAAAAACCGUAAGUGUUUGUGCCUGGAUUAACUCCGGAUGCACCAUUUGUGUUGCAUUUUAUUCUAUCGCUUCGUGGUGGAUUCCAAAUGACUGGAUAGUAGAAUAACCUUUGGGUAUAAGUCCCUAAAUAUCCCAGAAUAUUUGGCCAACUUGUGGGUAGUAACUGUGUGAGUCUAGGAUAGAUGAUUCUCCAAAGCCUUCAGAUGUCAUUGUUUAUUUUAAACACUAGGCUGUUGUAGGAGAGAGUCCUUCCAUGCUUUAGGUUAUUCCCCUUCCACAACUAUUUACUUCUUUGAUUCCAAAAUUACUACUUUUUUAUUUUUAUAGAAAAUCUUUUGGUGCCAACUAUGGAUUUGAAGCAUCAGGUUCUAUCUCACCCGAAUAAGUACUAGUUACUGAAGCAGUUAUGGAGGCCUCAUUUAUAUCCUGCAUGUUUAAAAAGAAUAAUCAUUAUCUCAGACAUGAAGUUUAUAGUUUGUUUUUGUUCUAAUCUUCUCCAAGUUGAUGUAGAUUUAAACGUCCUCCCGAGUUGUUUCAAUUAUUUUUGUUUAUUUUUAGUUUCUUGAGUUUUAUGUAAUCAUAAUUAUCAUGGUUUAUGAAUGAUGAGUAAUUUGGUGUCCUUGCAGGUUACUAUUGGUACUUUUCCC